UGCAUGGCAGGCCCCCGCAGAGGAUCAGUGCAGUGGCUGAACACCGGGAAGGAACUGGCGCUUGGAGUCCAGAUAUCUGGAAUACGGACUGAGCUCUGGGAUAAGAACAAAUGAGGAAGAGACAGUCACUGCCCUGGCAGCAAACACCCAUGGCCAGGGUUCCUCUAUCCAUCUGUGGGAAGACCCCAAGUUUGAUACUGAAGAUGUUAAACCAUCUCCAAAGAAAUACAGAAAUAUAUGGAUUCACCGUAGAAGCUGGACCCAGCUCCUCAGAUGCAGCAGAUGGAUUGGCCCACUCUGUAAUGACCCAGGAUGGGGCGGGUGUUCUUCUGCAUGGUGACUGAGAAUGUGAGCCUCAGAAUGAAAUACAGAGAAAUGCAUCUUACCAUCUCCGGUGUCAUGAGGUCUUCAAGAUGGACAGAUGGGUAUUCACUGAGAUCUUCGACCAAAUCUAG
rnacentral:lncRNA from 1 species